CGAGUAAACUGUAUCGUAGCGCAAGAUUUUCUUGCGAGGAAAGUCCGAGCAUCAUAGGACAGGAUAGCUGUUAACGGCAGCCGGAGGCGACUCUAGGGCUAGUGCAACAGAAAGAUACCGCCUGAUGAUUCAGGUAAGGAUGGAAAGGCGAGGUAAGAGCUCACCAGCAUAUACGAGAGUAUGUGGCUAUGUAAACCCUAUCCGAUGCAACACCGACUAAGAUGUUAUCGUUGGUCCGACGGUCUUGACGGGUGGCAGUAAGCAAAGUUUUUAACUUCGUUAAAAACCGCUUCGAGCAUAUAGGCAACUAUGUGCAAAGAUAGAUUACGAUACAACAUUGAUUUUCAAUGUGGACAGAACUCGGCUUAUAGGUUUAGUCGCAAU
rnacentral:RNase_P_RNA from 1 species